rnacentral:tRNA from 1 species
GGAGAGGUGGUCGAGCGGUUUAAGGCACCGGUCUUGAAAACCGGCGUAGGUGCAAGCCUACCGUGGGUUCGAAUCCCACCCUCUCCGCCA